rnacentral:tRNA from 2 species
GCCUCGUUAUAUCAGUCGGUAGAUAGUGUGACUCUUACGCAACAUAGCCGAUUGAUCACACAGUCAUGGGUUCGAGCCCCAUACGAGGCU